rnacentral:lncRNA from 1 species
AACGAACUAUAUUUUUCCGCCAUACAGUUGUACUUUAACUUACACCCCAUAAAUUGAUAUGAUGCACUUGAGUCUUAAGCCUUUUGCUAUAUUUUUUUCGGUAUUGAUUUCCAUUGCUGAUUGUCAGCUUCAAAGGUGAACUCUGUGAAACUCUGUGGCCAUUGCCUGGCUGUUUUCGAAGUUAUUUGCAGCCAUUUUCCUUGUUUCCAUACACAUCUUAAGGUACAAAUAUUUCAGAUAACUAGGCAAAGUAGCCAGGGGAAGGAAGGGGUAUUUAUUGGCGAGUGAUGUUAUCUUGAUGCAGAUGUCUUGUCCAAUAUGAAUUCCUUGUUUUUGUCCCAGAAAAGAAAAAAAGAAAGACAGAUCGGUCUUCAUUUUGAGUCUGUGCCCUUCAGUUGAUGGUUAUUAUUGUGUUUUUGUCGUGUUACUAUGGAUGUGAAACAAUUGAGAGCUCAUCUUUCUUGAUUGGUGCUUAAGGGGAUAAAAACGCACAGUGUUACGUGGUAUACAGUAUUCAAACCCCCGUUAUAUCCAUGAAAGUGUUGGACCAUUUUUUUUUUUUUUAUGACUUCAACUAUUUUGCAAUGGGCAUGAGCGACCCUUUGAUGGACACGUUGGCGUAAACUCUUAAGACUUAGCUUCUCCUCUCUCCUCACUCAACCAACCUCCACAGCACUGGCAGCAGUCUUCACCCCUCUCCUCUCUCUGAAGAGAGAGAGAAAGAGCUGAUCUGAGUGAAAGGGGAUGCGGAGGUGGAGGGCUGACUUGAGAGGAAGAAGGGAUGACAGUGAGUAUCAUUAAAAAUGUGCUGUUCCACCGUUACCUGGAGGCCUUCUGACGCUGAUCUGUCUAAUAUCUCACUUGUCACUUCAUUACACCGCCAGACGUGAAUGUUGCUGACAGGACUAGGGGGGAGAGAGAGAGAGGGAAUAGAGAGAGCGAGCUCAUCCACGGUCCAUCACUAUGUAAUAUGCAGUCGGUCCAGUGUUAGCAUUCCAGCCUUGUCACUGCAGGGUACGCUAGCGUUUCAUUAGGGAGAACAGUGGAAUGUAGCAUUGAGUUGGACCGCAAGGACUGCCAUGGAAUGCACUGAGAGCAGUUGAGAAAGAAGGUAGAAAGGGAUACCUAGACAAUUGUCCAACUGAAUGCAUUCAACUGAAAUGUGUCUUCUGCAUUUAACCCAACACCUCAAUCAGAGAGGAGCGGAAGCCAGGGAGCUCAAUCAGUGACCUGUGUAUGUUAGUGUGUGUGUUAGUGUGCCAGAGAGAGAUUAAAUUCCCUUACACUGACUCCUCAUCUCUAGCCCCUCUGUCUCUCACUCGAUGGCCAUGCCAGCACGCCACGGCUCCUAGAGAGAGCUCGCAAAUGAGCUGAGAAAACUGCCCUGACAUGCAAAAGACCGUCCAGAACAGAAUGUCCAGACUAGAGGAUAGGGAGAGAGAAAGGAGAGCAGAGGGACCGGUCUGAGAACGAAAGCGGUCUGGCCGGGACCUG